ACGAACGCUGGCGGCACGCUUAACACAUGCAAGUCGAACGAGAGAAGAGAAGCUUGCUUUUCUGAUCUAGUGGCGGACGGGUGAGUAACACGUGAGCAAUCUGCCUUUCAGAGGGGGAUACCGAUUGGAAACGAUCGUUAAUACCGCAUAACAUAAUUGAACCGCAUGAUUUGAUUAUCAAAGAUUUAUCGCUGAAAGAUGAGCUCGCGUCUGAUUAGCUAGUUGGUAAGGUAACGGCUUACCAAGGCGACGAUCAGUAGCCGGACUGAGAGGUUGAUCGGCCACAUUGGGACUGAGACACGGCCCAGACUCCUACGGGAGGCAGCAGUGGGGAAUAUUGCACAAUGGAGGAAACUCUGAUGCAGCGAUGCCGCGUGAGGGAAGAAGGUUUUAGGAUUGUAAACCUCUGUCUUCAGGGACGAAAAAAGACGGUACCUGAGGAGGAAGCUCCGGCUAACUACGUGCCAGCAGCCGCGGUAAUACGUAGGGAGCGAGCGUUGUCCGGAAUUACUGGGUGUAAAGGGAGCGUAGGCGGGAUCGCAAGUCAGAUGUGAAAACUAUGGGCUUAACCCAUAAACUGCAUUUGAAACUGUGGUUCUUGAGUGAAGUAGAGGUAAGCGGAAUUCCUAGUGUAGCGGUGAAAUGCGUAGAUAUUAGGAGGAACAUCAGUGGCGAAGGCGGCUUACUGGGCUUUAACUGACGCUGAGGCUCGAAAGCGUGGGGAGCAAACAGGAUUAGAUACCCUGGUAGUCCACGCCGUAAACGAUGAUUACUAGGUGUGGGGGGACUGACCCCUUCCGUGCCGCAGCAAACGCAAUAAGUAAUCCACCUGGGGAGUACGACCGCAAGGUUGAAACUCAAAGGAAUUGACGGGGGCCCGCACAAGCAGUGGAGUAUGUGGAUUAAUUCGAAGCAACGCGAAGAACCUUACCAGGUCUUGACAUCGUAUGCAUAGCUCAGAGAUGAGUGAAAUCUCUUCGGGGACAUAUAGACAGGUGGUGCAUGGUUGUCGUCAGCUCGUGUCGUGAGAUGUUGGGUUAAGUCCCGCAACGAGCGCAACCCUUACUGUUAGUUGCUACGCAAGAGCACUCUAGCAGGACUGCCGUUGACAAAACGGAGGAAGGUGGGGAUGACGUCAAAUCAUCAUGCCCCUUAUGACCUGGGCCUCACACGUACUACAAUGGCUGUCAACAGAGGGAAGCAAAGCCGCGAGGUGGAGCAAACCCCUAAAAGCAGUCUUAGUUCGGAUUGUAGGCUGCAACCCGCCUACAUGAAGUCGGAAUUGCUAGUAAUCGCAGAUCAGCAUGCUGCGGUGAAUACGUUCCCGGGCCUUGUACACACCGCCCGUCACGCCAUGGGAGUCGGUAACACCCGAAGCCUGUAGUCUAACCGCAAGGAGGACGCAGUCGAAGGUGGGAUUGAUGACUGGGGUG
rnacentral:rRNA from 1 species